GGGGCAAUGGCUCGAGUGGUUAGGCGACGAAUUGCAAAUUCGGAUCAGGUCGGUUCAAGUCCGGCUUGCCCCUCCA
rnacentral:tRNA from 1 species